UUGAGAUGAGCUAGCUGAAUUUUGUGAUUCCACAGAAGAUAGUGCUGGCGUCAAGACUAUACUAUAUUAGAACUUUAAUACAGCUUCCUGUUAUCCGUCUAAAGUCAGCCAUGGCCACUGCUAGCGCUCCAGUUCCUGGUACAAGAAGGAACCAUUAGGAGUCACCACAGGGACCUCGAAAACUGGGGAGGAGGUUUUCACAUUCUUUUAUGGUACUGACACUCCGUUCAGUCAGUUUCAUCCGGCCCAGUUUGAGGUGAAGGGACAGCAGUACAACUGUGCAGAGCAGUACAUGAUGCAUCAGAAAGCUGUUAUAAUGAGAUGGCAGCAAAUAUCCUGGCCAGUACUAUUCUUAAGGAGUAGAAAAGUUUCGGGAGGAGUGUGUCUAACUUUGAUGCGGAUGUGUGGACUAGCAAAUGCAGAGGUGUUGAAACAGAGCCAAGUUCUCCCAGAACAAAGAGCUCCUUAAUUGAGGCACUCCUAACCACUAAGGGCACACUGGUAAAGGCCAGUCCCAGAGACACAAUAUGGUAUUGGGCUGGGAGUUAGGAACGAGAAAGCACUGGACAGGGAGCAGUGGAGGGGGACUAACUGGCUGGGUGAGGCCCUCACUCAAGUCAGCUAGGGAGGAGCUCCUCAAGGAAAAGGGACAGUAGCUAUAGUGAUGAUUAGAGACAAUCUCUUGACAAUCUUGAAUUGUACUAUUUUUAUUUCGCUUUUAUCGACAACGUAACCAAUUAUAAUAUUCAUUUAAGCCAUAAUUACAUCUCCGCACUCCAUCAAUAAUCAUAAUAAGGAAGAAAUGUUUAUUUAUAUAUGUGAA